UAGUCUGCCAUACGCAGGAAGACCCGCUGAACUGAAGCAUCUCAUUAAGCGGAGGAAAAGAAACUAACUAGGAUUCCCUUAGUAAAGGCGAUCGAAAAGGGAACAGCCCAACGUCUUAAUCCCGCAAGGGAAAUGUAGUCGGUUCACCUAUUGCACUGGUCUAAGUCAGAUGGAAUGCUGCGCGAUUCAGAGUAAAAGCCUCGUAUGACCAACCGCAAGCUUACGAUGGACCGGGGAGAGUCGGAUACUUUGAGAGUAGUGUCUUAAGGGGGUGGUAUGUCCCAUCCAAGGCUAAAUAACGUGAGGAGACCGAUAGAUUACAAGUAGUGUGAACGAAAGAUGAAAAGAACUCUAAAACAGAGGGUGAAAAGUUCCUGAACUUGCUUAGGGUUAAGGCUAUUUAUAGUACCCGUCUUGAAACACGGAUUAGGGAGUUUAUCUGUAGUGCGAGUCUUUGCACGUUAACUGUAAAGGCGUAGAGAAAGCAACUGGCGUUUGCAUGGCUACUGAGCAUUACUGAUAGGACCCGAAAGGUGGUGAACUUUGCCUGCACAGGUUGAAGUCAGGGGAAACUCUGAUGGAGGACCGUACGGGUUAUUGAUGUGCAAAUCAUUUUUCUGAUGUAGGUAAAGGUGCGAAAGACUCAUCGAACCACCUAAUAGCUGGUUUCCUCCGAAGUUUCCCUCAGGAUAGCUGUAAUGCAUUUAGUUAAGGGGAGUAGAGAUAUGGGUAGAGGUGCAGGGAGCCUUCGGGUUCUCAACUUAUUUCCAAACUUCGAACCUCCUUGUUAGGCAUUUACCUAACUGGAAAUGCUUAAAUGAAUUAGCGUUACAAGUGGGCUCUGACCGGUAAGCGGUCAUGGCGAAAUGGGAUGAACCAUACGUCUGAAUAAGGUGCCGAAAUGUACUAUCACUGAUACCAUAAAGGGAGUCCAUGUAUUUAGACAGCAGGUCGGUGCCCCUAAAAGCAGGUAUCCGCUAAAGAGUGUGUUAAAACUCACCUGCCGAAUACUAGGGCCCCGAAAAUGAAUGGCGCAUAUAGUACUACCGAUCUCAGACAUCAGUUCUAUUGAACUGAGAGUAGGGGGAUGUGGACAUUUUUGUGAAGGUGCAAUGUGAGUUGGACUGGAAGAAUGUCUAUUACAGAUCCUAAUUGAAGUAGCGAUUAUCCAGGCUUGUAUCCUGGGGGCUGAUGAGGAGUAGGGUUUCUGGACAACUUAAACAGAUCCAGAGUUAGUCGAUCCUAAUCUCAAUAAUGGGAGAAAGGGAGUACAGUUGAUAUUCUGUAACUGACAACAGUUCGCGGCAACGCAUACUAUUUUUCUCCGCCAAUCUUAUACCGUUGGUAGGGAUCUCUUUCCUACAUGACAGUACUAAUACCCAGGGAAACUGGUCAUCAGGCGAACUGCGGCGUUCUGCUGGCAAAACAUAGCUUCGGUUAUGUCAAUGGCUAUUGGAUUGGUCCAUGAAGCGAAAAAUAGUUUACUGUGUCACUCGUACCGAUAACCGCAUCAGGUCUUCUAGGUAAGUAGCCUAUGGCCAUUGAGGCAUGAUAGUUCAGGGAAUUCGGCCAAUUAGAGCUGUAACUUCGGGAUAAAGCUUGGCUCUGAUGAAAAUCAGAACCG
rnacentral:ncRNA from 1 species